rnacentral:rRNA from 1 species
CAGGACGAACGCUGGCGGCGUGCCUAACACAUGCAAGUCGAACGGAGUUGACUCUUCGGGGUUAACUUAGUGGCGAACGGGUGAGUAACGCGUGAGAAACCUGCCUCUCAGUGGGGGACAACAGUUGGAAACGACUGCUAAUACCGCAUAACACUUUAGUACCGCAUGGUACAGAAGUCAAAGCUUUAUCGCUGAGAGAUGGCCUUGCGUCUGAUUAGAUAGUUGGUGAGGUAACGGCCCACCAAGUCUACGAUCAGUAGCCGGACUGAGAGGUUGAUCGGCCACAUUGGGACUGAGACACGGCCCAGACUCCUACGGGAGGCAGCAGUGGGGAAUAUUGCACAAUGGGGGAAACCCUGAUGCAGCAACGCCGCGUGAAGGAAGACGGUCUUCGGAUUGUAAACUUUUGUUCUUAGUGAAGAAACAUGACGGUAGCUAAGGAGAAAGCCACGGCUAACUACGUG